rnacentral:rRNA from 1 species
UACGUAGGGCGCAAGCGUUAUCCGGAAUUAUUGGGCGGAAAGAGCUCGUAGGCGGUUUGUCGCGUCUGCCGUGAAAGUCCGGGGCUCAACUCCGGAUCUGCGGUGGGUACGGGCAGACUAGAGUGAUGUAGGGGAGACUGGAAUUCCUGGUGUAGCGGUGAAAUGCGCAGAUAUCUGGAGGAACACCGGUGGCGAAGGCGGCAUCCUGGACCAACAUUGACGCUGAGGAGCGAAAGCCAGGGGAGCAAACGGG